rnacentral:sRNA from 1 species
UUUUAUACCGAAUCCCGCGAUAGGGAUGGUAGCGGAUAUCCUUUUUGUCUUUUGACCAAACGUCGUUUUAUAGACUCAAUGUGGCAAGACAAAAAGAUAGUAGUGGACAGCCCGACCCGAG